GCUAGGUGGAUUAGUGGCGCACGGGUGAGUAAUAUAUAGAUAACGUGCCUCUUAGUCUGGGAUAGCCAUUGGAAACGAUGAUUAAUACUAGAUACUCCUUCUAACUCUAAUGUUAGUUGGGAAAGUUUUUCGCUAAGAGAUCGGUCUAUAUCCCAUCAGCUAGUUGGUAGUGUAAGAGACUACCAAGGCAAUGACGGGUAGCGGGUUUGAGAGGAUGAUCCGCCACACUGGUACUGAGACACGGACCAGACUCCUACGGGAGGCAGCAGUGAGGAAUAUUGCACAAUGGAGGAAACUCUGAUGCAGCAACGCCGCGUGGAGGAUGACGCAUUUCGGUGUGUAAACUCCUUUUAUAUGUCAAGAAAAUGACGGUAGCAUAUGAAUAAGCACCGGCUAACUCCGUGCCAGCAGCCGCGGUAAUACGGAGGGUGCAAGCGUUAUUCGGAAUCACUGGGCGUAAAGGACGCGUAGGCGGGAUGCCAAGUCUGAUGUGAAAUCCUAUG
rnacentral:rRNA from 1 species